AUUCUGAAUCAAUAACCGUUUAAGAAAAGCAAGGAGCGUUCC
rnacentral:sRNA from 1 species